rnacentral:lncRNA from 1 species
UUUUUUAAAUAUAAUAAUACAUAUUUUAAAUAUGUCAACAUAUUAUAUGUAUCUAUAUAUUUUUGCAUAAUUGAAUUUACUAAAUCUUAUUAUUUUUGAUAUGAACCGCAUAUAGUACAUUAUAUCAGCAACAAAAAUAGCUGAACUGCAUUCCUCACAGCAUAAACGCUGAUAAAACAAACGUCAUUCAAUUAUUUAUACGAGAUCCGAGUCGAUGUAUCCGGUACAAAAUUUCACCGUGAAACAUAAGCACGUGGAUGAGGUAUCGUACACACGAUGGAUGAUACCUCAACCGGAAAGACUCUGCAACGCUAUCACCAUCCAAGGAGUUGUCCUUGUCUUUAGAGAAACCACUUACGAGGUCUUGAAAUGAAUUGUUCGUCUUUUGAAAGGAGUAAAGUGAAUGUGGAAUGAAUCUUGUGUGCUUUUAGAAACUUGUAAGAAGAAUCAGAUGCAAGGUCUUUAUUGAUUUUAAAAUCUAAUGAACAGUUUAUGAGAAUUUUAUACAGAGAAUUUUCAAUCGCGCAAUAUUGAACAAAUUAAAGAAAAUGAGCUAUAAAAAGAUGGACGAAGGAGUUGUAUUUGAAGAUCAUCAAGAUUCUAGGCUCUGAUGAGAAUUUCGUAAGAAUUUUGUACAAUUUCUUAUGCUGAAAAGCUGAUUUAUAUUUCUUCUACAGUUCUAUAGUGAAAAAACUUUUAUUAUGGCGCUCCUGUUAUAUCUUGAAUUAUAUCUUGAAUAUUCAAAUAAAAUAAAAAAAUUGCUUCGAUAUCUGUGAUAUUUAUGACAUUUCAAUAUUUUUAAAGAUAAAUGAAAUGAAGGAAAAUGAUAAAUGAUUUAUCAGAAGAAAACAAUUUUAUUUGAAAGUUGUUCUAAAAAUUCAUCUAUUUAUGAAAAAGAGACAUCCUCUCAGAAAAGGGAUAUAUACAAUAUAUCCUUAUAAUCUAGUUUCCAACUUUUGGAUCAAUAGUAUCGUUAAAAGUUUUAACGUUUUCCUCCUUAACAAUUAUUGAUAAAAAGAGUUUCGGUGUUUCAGAGAUAAAAAUUUAUUAUAUCGAUUUUCAUACGACUUCCAUGGAAAGAAAUUGAAAUAAAAAAUUUUUUUUUUCAAUUGAAGCAUCUUUUGUAAAAAAGAUGUAAUAAAAUAACAAUCGAUUCUUCAAAGAAUAUUAACAAUGUUUAUUGAUCGAUUCUAUGGAUUUUAUUGAAAAUGUAAUUACUAUUCCAAUCGUAUUUUCUGUUUAGAAGUAGAAUUUCAAUCAUCAACGCUAUGCAAGUACUACUCACCUUACCAUCCCACAUGUGAGUGCAAUUUAAUCUCAUAGUCGUAAAUAUUCUGUAAAGAAAUAAUAAUCAUUUUUAAUAGCCACUCAAACUACUUAAAAACACAUACUUAUAAGCACUUUUUGUCUUAGGUUAUAAUGUCGAGCACGUAUACUAAAAUGAUCAAAGGAUGUUUUUUUAUUCUCUUUUUUUCUUCCUUCUUUUCUGAUAAGUAUUAUACAGUUUAAAUUUUUUUUAUUUUAUAAUAAUUAAAAAUUAUAUACUUAAUAUAUUAUACUUAUAUACUUUAAUUUCAAUUUAUCUUAAAUUACAGUUAAACAAUUUCUCAAGAUAUUAAUACAGAAGAAAAAUCAAGUUUCGUUGAUAUAUAUAUACAAUGUAUACAUAACUUUCAUUUGCGUUUUCUGAAUUGAGAACGGUUCAUUAUGUUCAUAAAUAUAUGUUCAAUUCAAUACCGCAUUUCAUUUAAAAAUUUAUCAAGUGAAUUAAAUGCGAAUGACAAGCUCGGCAACGUGAUAAAUGAAUCAGAAUCGCAUGUAUACAUUACACUACUUAGACGCGUGUGAAUCAAAGCGUUACGUAGGUUACGUAUGUUUUACCUAUAGUUAGUCACUAGAUGAAUUCACUGUGCAUGUUCCCCUCGAUCACUUCCUGUAUAGCGCGACGUAACCUCUGUCGCAUAUGAAAUUUGGAAACGGCCAGGCUUUGAACGUGUCCACCAUGAAAAAUAAUUUCCUUGUACCGUGUAUACAAGAGGAAUACAAGCUGGAACAAUGUAAUGAAUACGUUAUAUCGUGUUUUAUACCGGUUUUGAAGACAUGUACAAUUGUUCUAUAAAAAAGACAAAGAAAAAGAGAGAUUGGUCAUCAUAUAGCACGCAGGCGGAAUAUGUAUACCUCUGACGCAUGUAAUUUAGUGGCAACAAAUGUUCAAUAAAUCUGUCUCUUGCUUCUCGAAUGGUUGGCCAUCUGUAAUUUAUUGUCGGCCAAUAUCAGCUGCUUUGUAUAGUCUAACAAUCGACUUGUUUAAUCGUCGAUUUAUUAAUAGUCAUUGCUUUGGAAAUUCUUGAAAGUCACGAGGUAAGAGUAGAUUUCUUUCGAUUUAAUUCGUAAGUUGAUUGUUUUUAGUUUGAAAGUAUAGAUGAGGUAUAGAUAGAUAGUGAAGAAUAAAUGCAUACUUCAGAAGAAAAAUUUGUUUG